GCGGCUGCGCCCGGCCCGCGCUGGGGGUCUCCGGGCUCUGCGGGGCCGCGCGGGCGCGACGCGCUGGGGGAGCGGGCGCCUGGCCGGUCCCCGCGCGGCUGGGCUCCGCCGGGCCCGCCUCCCACGGCCAGGGCCACGGCCACCGCCGCUGUCACACUCGCACACACGCGCGCACGCAGAUGGCAACACCGCGUUCCGGGGCCCCUGCGCAGCCCAUUGGCCGGGCGGCGGCGGUAUGCAAAUGAGGCCGCCGGGGCCGCCCACGCCUCAUUGUUGCGUGGAGACCCGGGCGCCGGGCGGCGGGGCGGCGGGGCGGCGUGGGGAGCCCCCGGGUGUGGGUCGGGGCGGGCCCACGCAGGGCUGCCUGCGGGCGGGGGCUGCGGCACGGCCACGCGCGGGGAGGGAGGGCGCACCUCUCCUGCUUCUGGGACUCGGUGCGAAACCUGCCCUAGCUCGCCCGCAGCGUGCCUCCCCCAGGCGCAGUUUGGGUGGGGGUCCGUUUUCAGGCAGGGACGCUCCCCAAGUCCGCCUAGAGGAGAACCAGCAGUUAACGGGUAAUUUGCUGAUGGAUGCAGUGCUCGCUAAGCGCAGGGGUCUCCAAGGAGCUGUGAACCCCGUGCUCCCCACCCCGGAGGAACCACCACGCGCGGGACCCCGCCCCCUCGCAACAGAGCUAAGAUCUGAGGAAUGGAGAUUGGAAAGAGCCUCCCAGACAGAAGGGAGAGUGUGUGCAAAGACCCCGUGGAUGCAGAGAGGGCACAGACCUGAAAGAAAACCAGAGUGCUGGUCCAGUUCUGAAGUCAGAGGAAAUGUGGUGUGAAAUGAAGCUGGAGCAAUAGGUGAGGCCAGACUGUCCAGAGCCUUGUGAGUUCUGUUAGAGAUCUGAGUCUGAAUCCUAAAAAUAGUGAGGAAUUGAAAACUUUUAAAGCAGUAAGCAGAUGAGUGGCUUGAUCAUGUUGGCUGCAAUUGUGGAGGAGCUGUGGCAUGGGUAGAAGUUUGGAGGGGCCCUGGGGUGGAGGCAACAUUUCAGACAUGAGACACUGGCAGAUGAGCCAAGUUCCUGGGAGGUAGAAGUGAAUGGACUCCAGAAACAUCCUCAUGCAACAGGGUGACUGGGUGAUAGGCUGAGUGAGGGAAGGAAGUGACCUUCUAGCCUUUGAGGCUGCCAGUAGCUCAGCUUCUCUCCUUCUCCCCCUGGGAAGGGGCGAAAGUAGCGUCAAAUGCUAAACUCACACUUGGGUUUUCCUUUGCCCCCAAGAUCUUGACAUGAUUCACUCUCCACUGCUUACUUCAGGUCACUGAGGCCUCACUCUGUCCAGUCUCUCUAGCUGUUCUUGGAGGGAGUCUUGUUGCCCUGUCAUUAGCUGACGUGAAGAUGCAGAGUCUGAGUCUACUCCAGAGAUUCUGAUCCCUGCUCCUGUUUCCUCACAGGGCCACUGGAUGGGAGUUGGGAGGCAAAAAAGUAUCAACUGGCAUUGUGCCAAAAUCAAGAAAAAUUAUACCAUUGUGUUUGUCAUUAUCCAUGAAUUGCCCAACACAAUCCUACUAUCCAUUCCUCUUGCUCUUCCUGGCUUAUAUACUUUGAAUGCCUCUUCAUACACACUGAUCUUGGUUUUUCUCAUUUAAUACAGAUGUAUUAAGUAGUUAUUAUAUGUCAGCACUUUCUGAAGAUGCAAGAAUGAACAAAGCAGAUCCCAAAUCUUCACAUUUUCAUGGGAGAAAGACAGACAAUAAAUUAAUGGAACAUUUUCA
rnacentral:lncRNA from 12 species